rnacentral:rRNA from 1 species
GAUGAACGCUGGCGGCGUGCCUAAUACAUGCAAGUCGAGCGAACAGAUGAGGAGCUUGCUCCUCUGACGUUAGCGGCGGACGGGUGAGUAACACGUGGAUAACCUACCUAUAAGACUGGGAUAACUUCGGGAAACCGGAGCUAAUACCGGAUAAUAUAUUGAACCGCAUGGUUCAAUAGUGAAAGACGGUUUUGCUGUCACUUAUAGAUGGAUCCGCGCCGCAUUAGCUAGUUGGUAAGGUAACGGCUUACCAAGGCAACGAUGCGUAGCCGACCUGAGAGGGUGAUCGGCCACACUGGAACUGAGACACGGUCCAGACUCCGACGGGAGGCAGCAGUAGGGAAUCUUCCGCAAUGGGCGAAAGCCUGACGGAGCAACGCCGCGUGAGUGAUGAAGGUCUUCGGAUCGUAAAACUCUGUUAUUAGGGAAGAACAAAUGUGUAAGUAACUAUGCACGUCUUGACGGUAUCUAAUCAGAAAGCCACGGCUAACUACGUG